rnacentral:lncRNA from 1 species
GGCGGGGGAGCAUCUGCAUGCAUGGCCUGCCUCACCUGAUGUGAGAUGAGGGAUUUAAGAGCGGGGCUUGCAGGCAGGGAGGUCUGCAGAGUGGCAGAGCUGGGACAAGUGUCAGAGGGGGGACAUACUAUGUGAGGGUCUCUAGUGUGACUGUCCUGCCUCUUAGACUCCCUUACUAGGGAUGGCUUGUGUAGUUUGGGUCUGGUGAGCCAUUGCUGACUUGAACACACACAUGCACACAUAAGCACAAAUACACAUAGACAUACAAGGAGACAUACCACAUACAGAUACAGAAACACACACAGAAAGACACACAGGCAUAUAGACGCACACCCAACCACAAAAACAGACACCACACAGAUACACAAAAACACACACAUACAAACAUGCUACACAGAGAUACACACACAUACAAACAUACACAGACAUGCACACAUUAUAU